ensembl:snRNA U6 U6 spliceosomal RNA
GUGCUUGCUUUGUUAGCACAAAUACUAAAAUUGGAGCGAUAUCGAGAAGAUUAGCAUGGUCCCUGCACAAAGAUGACACGCAAAUUCAUGAAGCGUAUUUUUUCUUG